UCAACUCUUUAGUUCAGCCUCCAUUGAAGAGGUAGUGGAUAGAUAAAAUUCUCUAGAUAAAGGAAGCAAUGUUGGCAUAUAUUCUGGCACAACCUUCUGAUCUCAUCACGGGCCAGUAAAAUAGAGUUAUCAGAUGGCCAUUUGAGCAGCACUACUGAGGAUUUUCAUUUCCAGCCUAGAUGGAACAGCUUGAAUGAGACCAAAUCCUCAUCUCAGAACUCCUCUAAAACUGAAUAAAAUAUGUAGCUUUGCAUACAUCAGAUUUUAUAGCCAAGGCAGUGAGUACUUGAAGGAGCAAGAUCCCUAAGAAGGAAGAAACACAAUAAAAUGCUUAAAGACAGCAACAGACAGUGGGAAGGCUCUAGCACUGGGGCGUCAUUAUCCAGGAAUAGAUUUCCUGGUUCUUCGGUGGCCAUAUGGCAUCUAUAAUAGAGAGGUUCAAGAGCUGCCAGGUACAAAAUGACUGAUGUGAAUCCUUACAAACAAGAAGAGAAGACAAGAAUAGCAUGGUGAAAAGAAAUCUAGCAAACCCAUAGAGAUACAGUUCUGCAAACCUGAGAAAAAGAUAGGCACUUAGGGACAGGUCUUGUCAGUGAAUUGGUUUUACAUUGCCUGGCACAUAAUAGCUAUUUCAAUAAAAACUGUACUA